UUGAAAGGAGAAAAUUAAAUUUCUCAAAGCAGAGGAAUCGAAACUUUCAAGAAUCAAAUGGGCUCUGUUUGUCCUUUCCCUAUCUUCGACGUGUCGAUCUGCAAGUGUGGAGUUGAAGCGAAAGUGAUGGUUGCCUGACUGAGAAAAUUCCUGGUCGAAAGUUCUUCCGUUGUGCCAAUUGGAAGUCUGAGGCAAUACAUUUUUCAGUUGAUUUGAUGAAUAAUUUGCUCCCCACAUCAAACAUAUGCUAACAAAAUGAAGAAGGAGAAAGAGACAUUGCUGAAGAAAGGGGAAACGCUUAAAGGUGAUCUGUUAUAUUAAAAAAAAUUGAAUAACAGAUCCUUAACCAUUCUUGACUCAAUUGCUAUGGAGACGGAGAUUGAAGAAAUGAGAGGAAAUACUGCUAGAAUGAUUGAAUUGGAAAAAAGAGAUUGAGGAAUUGAAGUAUGAGAAGGGCUUAUUCAAAAAGUCUCUCUCAUUACAGUUGUUAUGUUAUGCUUGUGCAUUUUCCUUACUAUGAGUAUUUAGUUUAGUUUGUUUUAGGUAUGAACUCAACGUGUUGUAAUGAUAAUCAAUUAACCCUAAUUAGAGUUGAUUGAUUUAGUUAAAAUCUUAUGUUGUCUUGUACUUUGAAUGUAUUUUGAAGAAUAUUGUCUUGAAUGAAAACCUUAUGUUUAUUA